rnacentral:lncRNA from 1 species
GACAAAGUUGAUACACUUACCGAAGGUGCAUCAUCUCCCUAGCAUAGAUAAACUAGUAUAGACAAUUCCUUAUGUUUUAAAUUACUAUCAUUUAUGCAUGCUUAAAAGGGGUACAAUCAAAUACCGAUGAAUGGAAUAAAAAAAGUCCUUAUAACCGAAUAACCGAACUAUUAAUACAAGGUAAUGCAUUUGGGCUUGAAAAACGCAAGUCACUUAACAAAG